UGGGUUGGCCCAAAAGUUCGUUCGGAUUUUACAUGCCAUCUUACGAACUUUUGGCCCAACCCA
ensembl:miRNA